rnacentral:rRNA from 1 species
GUUGAUCCUGGCUCAGGAUGAACGCUAGCUACAGGCUUAACACAUGCAAGUCGAGGGAACGACAGAGAGUGCUGCACUCUUGGGCGUCGACCGGCGAAUGGGUGAGUAACGCGUAUCCAACCUGCCCUUGACUGAGGGAUAGCCCAGUGAAAACUGAAUUAAUACCUCAUGUACUCCUCAGACGGCAUCAGACGAGGAGCAAAGAUUAAUCGGUCAAGGAUGGGGAUGCGUCUGAUUAGGUAGUAGGCGGGGUAACGGCCCACCUAGCCGACGAUCAGUAGGGUUCUGAGAGGAAGGUCCCCCACAUUGGUACUGAGACACGGACCAAACUCCUACGGGAGGCAGCAGUGAGGAAUAUUGGUCAAUGGGACGAAAGCCUGAACCAGCCAAGUAGCGUGCAGGAUGACCGGCCCUAGUGGGUUAGUAAACUGUCUUUUAGUAGGGAAUAAAGUUAUCCACGUGUGGAUAUUUGCAUGUACCCUAUGAAUAAGGACCGGCUAAUUCCGUGCCAGCCGCUGC